UAUCUUCUUCUAUCUCUACUCUUAUACUCUAUGAUUGCUUGUAACAAUAGACAAAUCUCGAAGAUUCCCUGGAAAUAAAAAAGAAAAUAAUAAUAAAAACUUUCUUGCAUACAUGCAUCAUUCAUAUGACAUAUUGCAUUUCAUAAAUCCGAAACCAAUGAACUCAUCAUCGCUUGAACCUUCACAAAACCACUUCCAUCAGAGUUGAUUACCUGACAACUGU
rnacentral:lncRNA from 1 species